rnacentral:rRNA from 1 species
GCAUCGAUGAAGGACGUAGCGAAUUACGAUAUGUAAUGUGAAUUGCAGAAUUCAGUGAAUCAUCGAAUCUUUGAACGCACCUUGCGCUCUUUGGUAUUCCGAAGAGCAUGCCUGUUUGAGUGUCAU